UUUGGGUGAGUAGGGUCUUGGGGGAGUGUCACCCUGGGGGUGGCUGGAGCUGACUCUGGGUCUUUGCUCCCUAGUGUCUGACCGAG
rnacentral:pre_miRNA from 1 species